CAUGUAGACGGCAUAGCAAGCCAAGUGUGAAAUUUAGGGGCUUAACCUCUAAACUGCGCUUGGAACUGCUGAGCUUGAGUGCAGGAGGGGCAAGUGGAAUUCCCAGUGUAGCAGUGAAAUGCGUAGAUAUUGGGAGGAACACCAGUGGCGAAGGCGACUUGCUGGACUGCAACUGACGUUGAGAUGCGAAAGCUAGGGGAGCAAACG
rnacentral:rRNA from 1 species